rnacentral:rRNA from 1 species
GCCUGAUCCAGCAAUGCCGCGUGUGUGAAGAAGGCCUUCGGGUUGUAAAGCACUUUUGUCCGGAAAGAAAUCCUUGGUUCUAAUACAGCCGGGGGAUGACGGUACCGGAAGAAUAAGCACCGGCUAACUACGUGCCAGCAGCCGCGGUAAUACGUAGGGUGCGAGCGUUAAUCGGAAUUACUGGGCGUAAAGCGUGCGCAGGCGGUUUGCUAAGACCGAUGUGAAAUCCCCGGGCUCAACCUGGGAACUGCAUUGGUGACUGGCAGGCUAGAGUAUGGCAGAGGGGGGUAAAAUUCCACGUGUAGCAGUGAAAUGCGUAGAGAUGUGGAGGAAUACCGAUGGCGAAGGCAGCCCCCUGGGCCAAUACUGACGCUCAUGCACGAAAGCGUGGGGAGCAAACAGGAUUAGAUACCCUGGUAGUCCACGCCCUAAACAAUGUCAACUAGUUGUU